rnacentral:ncRNA from 1 species
AACAAAACGAUGAUAGAGACAGUAUAAAAGUAUCCCCUGUAACACAGCGAGUCAGGAAAUGGUGGAAGCCUGACACAGGCACUUUUAGAAGAUCACUCUUGAGUUUCCAUUCGAAUCUUCUAGUAGAAAUGGACGUCUGUUCACGUUACGAAUAUCGAGUGAAUUUAAAAUGUUCUAUUUUAAAUUUAUAAGGGUGGUACCGCGAGUUCUCUCGUCCCUUUU